CCCGGUGCAACCGGUACAGUGCAGUGGAGCCAGGCGUCCACAACAUGCACAGCGCCCGCAUGCGUACUUACUGCCCACGAUGCUCUGUGUCACUCCAGCUGCUCAGCGGAGCGUCACGCAGAUGCCAUACACUCUGUGCACAUAAGCCCCAAUCGGCUCAAAUACAGGAAGCUGUUUAACGAAGAAACUGGAUUGGAAUGACGUGUAGUCUGCUGGUAGUUCCACUAGAGGUCAGACAUCAUACAAUCAAUAUGAAAAAUACUUAGAUUUGUCAUUUCCAGAUUUCUUCUUAUUCCAGAUCUGUGGGUGGUUCUGCUGUAUCGGCUUCCACAGUCCAAAGGCCACCCUUAAACCUUCAAAAGUAGGAAGAAUAUCUGAAGGACAGUCAGGAAGAUGCACUAAAGUUAAUUAUCAUGAAGAUUUACUGAAAAUGAAAGAGAUCAAACUAGCCUAUAAGAAAGACCAAAUAAAGUAUAGAAAAUAAACAUGGCAAGGCAAAAUUCUACAUGGUUAACACAUUAAAAAAUAAACAAGCAGGCAAAGAAGAUAACAAGAUCUGGCAAUGAUCAGCAGGAAAGCUGAAGAAAAAGACAAAGGGGCUAAUUCUGUUUGCACAAGACCAAAUGUAUACAAAACCAGAAUUAAGAAGACUGCAACAGAUAGCAAAUGUCCUUGCAAAAAAACUGAAGCAAUCGUGGGCCAUCUAGCUAGCUGCUUGCAAGACGAUUACACAGACUGAUUAUAAACAAUGGCAUGACAGUAGCGCAUUGGGAUAUCUGCAAGAAAUUGUACUUUCCUGCAAGAAAGAACUGGUGAGAAUAUAAAGUAAUAAAAAAAUGAAGAAUUAAAGUGCUUUGGGAGUUUAGAAAUCAAACAGACAAGCAUUUGCUUUAAUAUGAUAUAACAACACCUGCCUGUCCCAGGACCCUAAGAAAGACUUGAUAAGUGGACAAGAAUGCAAAAUCAAACAUAACUCCUUAAUCAAUGGCCGAUGAUCAUUGAUGUUGCUGCAAUCCACCUUAUUUUCCCAUUCGUCUGGCAGACGCGCGGCUAGGUCCUUGUUCUCUGGUCUCCUGCCCUUCCGGAAGGGGAAAACGAUGCUUCCUGUCUUGUGAUUGAGUAUUUUGUUGUUUCUCUUGUCCUUCUCUUUGUCUUUCUCCAAGUCCAGGUGAUUCAGGAUGUCCCGCCUUCAGGACCUUAUGAUAGAAAUCUCGGGCUUCCCCUACGGAGUUGAGACAAUAUUUUUGCUCACCGAAUGUAAUUAUAAUA